rnacentral:rRNA from 1 species
UACGUAGGGGGCAAGCGUUGUCCGGAAUCAUUGGGCGUAAAGAGCGUGUAGGCGGCUCGGUAAGUCCGCUGUGAAAGUCCAGGGCUCAACCCUGGAAUGCCGGUGGAAACUGUCGGGCUUGAGUAUGGGAGAGGUGAGUGGAAUUUCCGGUGUAGCGGUGAAAUGCGUAGAUAUCGGAAGGAACACCGGUGGCGAAAGCGGCGCGCUGGAUCCCUACUGACGCUGAGGCACGAAAGCCAGGGGAGCAACGGG